UCAGGAGCGUUAUCCAUCGCUGAUUGGGCCUUUUUGGGCUCGAACACCUGACGUCUUGACCCAACUACACAUACGCACCCGUGCCGGCCCACCGCGUCUCGAGCGCUCGCCGGCGCGCCGUCGCGUCUGCGUGGUGUCCCACACUUACCAGUUCCUCCUCCGGUAUCCCGAUGGCAUCUGCGCAUGGGCUCGCGCGCCGGUGGAUGUCGUUGGGAUUUUCCACCACAGGGCCGCCGCCCUGCUUGACCAGAUCCAACCCCCGCCCCCCUUCCCCUGGUGUCGAGUCAAAGAAAGACAUAGGAGCAUGAAAGAUGCAAUGCAUCAUGCUCUUGAACAAUUUUUCUGAUGUGAGGAGGCCGGUUACCGCUACAAGAACUGCUCGAAUCAAGAUACACAAGGCGCUGCCAACUGAUAUAAAUACAUACACCAUGAACUGGAUGGAUUCCAUUUUUGAUUUGCUUCCAUUUCUUGGAUGGCAAGCUGAUGCCAUCCAAUAGUUGCUUCCCACUUCAAAUAUCUGAAAGAAGCACUGUGCUGCAAUUAUCAUAGGAAUGAAAAGUCCACCCCGAGCAGCUGUGAGGGGAAAAAGAACCUUGUAUAAAUGCCUGCCAGUUUGAGGGUCGACUGCACUGAAAGGAUCAUCAAGCAGGUAUAUAUCAGCAUCCU